CGGCAACAGCUCAAAUUUGAAAUCUGGCCCUCGUGGUCCGAGUUGUAAUUUGUAGAGGAUGCUUUUGGUUAGGUGCCUUCCGAGUUCCCUGGAACGGGACGCCAUAGAGGGUGAGAGCCCCGUCUGGUUGGACACCGAGCCUCUGUAAAGCUCCUUCGACGAGUCGAGUAGUUUGGGAAUGCUGCUCUAAAUGGGAGGUAUAUGUCUUCUAAAGCUAAAUAUUGGCCAGAGACCGAUAGCGCACAAGUAGAGUGAUCGAAAGAUGAAAAGCACUUUGAAAAGAGGGUUAAAAAGUACGUGAAAUUGUUGAAAGGGAAGCGCUUGUGACCAGACUUGGGCCCGGUCAAUCAUCCAGGGUUCUCCCUGGUGCACUUUUCCGGCUCAGGCCAGCAUCAGUUUGUCGCGGGGGAUAAAGACGUUGGGAAUGUGGCUCCCCCGGGAGUGUUAUAGCCCUUCGUGCAAUACCCUGCUUCGGACUGAGGUUCGCGCAUCUGCAAGGAUGCUGGCGUAAUGGUCAUCAGCGACCCGUCUUGAAACACGGACCAAGGAGUCGUCUUCGUAUGCGAGUGUUCGGGUGUCAAACCCCUACGCGUAAUGAAAGUGAACGCAGGUGAGAGCUUCGGCGCAUCAUCGACCGAUCCUGAUGUUCUCGGAUGGAUUUGAGUAAGAGCAUACGGGGCCGGACCCGAAAGAAGGUGAACUAUGCCUGUAUAGGGUGAAGCCAGAGGAAACUCUGGUGGAGGCUCGCAGCGGUUCUGACGUGCAAAUCGAUCGUCAAAUAUGGGCAUGGGGGCGAA
rnacentral:rRNA from 1 species